rnacentral:rRNA from 1 species
AACGAUCUGUAGCCGAACUGAGAGGUUGAUCGGCCGCAUUGGGACUGAGACACGGCCCAGACUCCUACGGGAGGCAGCAGUGGGGAAUAUUGCGCAAUGGGGGCAACCCUGACGCAGCAACGCCGCGUGCAGGAAGAAGGUCUUCGGAUUGUAAACUGUUGUCGCAAGGGAAGAAGACAGUGACGGUACCUUGUGAGAAAGUCACGGCUAACUACGUGCCAGCAGCCGCGGUAAUACGUAGGUGACAAGCGUUGUCCGGAUUUACUGGGUGUAUAGGGCGCGUAGGCGGACUGUCAAGUCAGUCGUGAAAUACCGGGGCUUAACCCCGGGGCUGCGAUUGAAACUGACAGCCUUGAGUAUCGGAGAGGAAAGCGGAAUUCCUAGUGUAGCGGUGAAAUGCGUAGAUAUUAGGAGGAACACCAGUGGCGAAGGCGGCUUUCUGGACGACAACUGACGCUGAGGCGCGAAAGUGUGGGGAGCAAACAGGAUUAGAUACCCUGGUAGUCCACACCGUAAACGAUGGAUACUAGGUGUAGGAGGUAUCGACCCCUUCUGUGCCGCAGUUAACACAAUAAGUAUCCCACCUGGGGAGUACGACCGCAAGGUUGAAACUCAAAGGAAUUGACGGGGGCCCGCACAAGCAGUGGAGUAUGUGGUUUAAUUCGAAGCAACGCGAAGAACCUUACCUGGGCUUGACAUCCCUGGAAUCGAGUAGAGAUACUUGAGUGCCUUCGGGAAUCAGGUGACAGGUGGUGCAUGGUUGUCGUCAGCUCGUGUCGUGAGAUGUUGGGUUAAGUCCCGCAACGAGCGCAACCCCUAUUGUCAGUUGCCAUCAUUAAGUUGGGCACUCUGGCGAGACUGCCGGUGACAAAUCGGGGGAAGGUGGGGACGACGUCAAAUCAUCAUGCCCCUUAUGCCCAGGGCUACACACGUACUACAAUGGCCGAUAACAAAGUGCAGCGAAACCGUGAGGUGGAGCGAAUCACAAAACUCGGUCUCAGUUCAGAUUGCAGGCUGCAACUCGCCUGCAUGAAGUUGGAAUUGCUAGUAAUCGCGGAUCAGAAUGCCGCGGUGAAUACGUUCCCGGGCCUUGUACACACCGCCCGUCACACCAUGAGAGUCGAUAACACCCGAAGCCUGUGAGCUAACCUAUUAGGAGGCAGCAGUCGAAGGUGGGGUUGAUGAUUGGGGUGAAGUCGGAACAAGGUAGCCGUAUCGGAAGGUGCGGCUG